UACAGAGGUCCCGAGCGUUGUUCGGAUUCACUGGGCGUAAAGGGUGCGUAGGUGGCAUGUUAAGUUUGAUGUGAAAGCUCAGGGCUUAACCCUGAAACGGCAUUGAAUACUAGCGUGCUGGAGGUUUGGAGGGGGGACUGGAAUUCUCGGUGUAGCAGUGAAAUGCGUAGAUAUUCGCAAGAACACCAGUGGCGAAGGCGGCUCACUGGCCCGUAACUGACGCUGAGGCACGAAAGCGUGGGGAGCAAACAGG
rnacentral:rRNA from 1 species